rnacentral:lncRNA from 1 species
UUUUUUAAAAUUAAUUAAGAGUAUUACAACUAUCCAUCCUUAAAAGAAAUUUAGUUCCUUAAAUUUAUCUCUCUCUCAGCAAUCAAACAGUUGGAGUUACUGGGCCUUAAAAUCUUAUUCUAGCUCCCAUGUGGCCUCUCCUUGUGUGUGAUUCUGUCAUAAGACCUUAACGAAUGAAAUUUUCUGGUUGUGAAGUACUUUACUCUUUCGGUCCACAAUACUAAUCGGUAUCUCCUC